UACCAGCACCCCGAGUGGUCGGGACGUUUAUUGGGCCUAAAGCAUCCGUAGCCGGUUCUACAAGUCUUCCGUUAAAUCCACCUGCUUAACAGAUGGGCUGCGGAAGAUACUAUAGAGCUAGGAGGCGGGAGAGGCAAGCGGUACUCGAUGGGUAGGGGUAAAAUCCGUUGAUCCAUUGAAGACCACCAGUGGCGAAGGCGGCAUCCUGGACCAACACUGACGCUGAGGGAGCGAAAGCCAGGGGAGCAAACGGG
rnacentral:rRNA from 1 species